GCCAGCUUACCUAUUUCUUGAAUAAUUACAAAUUUAAUGCAGGAAGAUGAGGAUGAGGACUAAAACAAAAGAGCAUGUUCUAUACUUCAAAAAUUCAUAUAUGCUACUAAAUCCUGCAGAUCGUGAUUACUGGAAGUAAAAGUUUACAAGCAAUGACAAGAAUGAUACAAAAUUUAUUUUA